UAAAGAAGAUAACAUCUUCCAUGGUGU
rnacentral:piRNA from 1 species